rnacentral:tRNA from 1 species
GGUUGUAGCUCAGGGGUAGAGCUCUUGCCUCGUACUUGUGAGGCACUGAGUUCAAUUCUCAGCAUCA